rnacentral:pre_miRNA from 10 species
AGCCACGGAACGGUUUUUUGGGUCUUGUCAACAUUCAAGUGGCUGUUGUGCGUUCUCAGGUCCCAUAUUCGUAUCACAGCCAGCUUGGAUCAGGAUAAUUCCCUUCAAAAUUCCAACUGAGAAA